rnacentral:rRNA from 1 species
AUUGAACGCUGGCGGCAGGCCUAACACAUGCAAGUCGAACGAGUGGCGGACGGGUGAGUAAUGUCUGGGAAACUGCCCGAUGGAGGGGGAUAUCUAAUGGAAACGGUAGCUAAUCCCGCAUACCAUCGGAUGUGCCCCGAUGGGAUUAGCUAGUAGGUGGGGUAUCGGCUCACCUAGGCGACGCUCCCUAGAUGGUCUGAGAGGUUGACCAGCCACACUGGAACUGAGACACGGGCCAGACUCCUACGGGAGGCAGCAGUGGGGAAUAUUGCACAAUGGGCGCAAUCCUGAUGCAGCCAUGCCGCGUGUAUGAAGAAGGCCUUCGGGUUGUAAAGUACUUUCAGCGGGGAGGCGUUACCCGCAGAAGAAGCACCGGCUAACUCCGUGCCAGCAGCCGCGGUAAUUC